CGUGAUAUUGCAUACCUGGUACUACCCGUUCUCGCAAUCAUCAACGAUAUGCACCUUCACCUACGGUGGCAAGUCGCAAGGCAGAGGCAACCAACUGGCAAUUAUGACACCUGUUUCCCCGCAUCUCGCCCAUUAUUCAAAGGUCAGCAUCCUUCUUUAGGACUCGACAUGUCUUGAAUAUUAUUUGAAUGAACAACUCGCUCAAAAGAAAUUGACUGGUGCCACCGAGGGUGUCCGUAGAUGUCAUGCCACAACGUCAAGACUAUAAGGUACUAUACCCUCUCUUUGGCUUUAGUGAGUACAGAUUUAUGUUGUAGCCUGACGGAUUGCAUAGUGGCUGAAAGAGCGACUAACAAGUCAUGAUGUACAAUUAACCGACUUCUGACGUCACUGAGCGAUGAUCGUGACUCGCGCCUAGGCCUGAUACACAUUCUUUCAUGAGUCACAUGGCACAGUGGGGACAUUGACCGAUAGAGUACAUUGGCCCAUCAAGAGUCUUGUCAUAUCGACAGCAGUACAUAACACAUGAAACCUAAGUAUCUCGCUGUAAAGAAUAUGUAGAGCCAGAGGCAUGAAUGUCUGAUGUUCAUUUGUCACAUCUAUGUGGAAAAUAUAUAAAUAAUUUGUUCCAGUAAGCUUAGACGAUACUUUUCUUGAAGUUGGUUUUCUGUAUCAGUAAACAACAGAUGAUUUUGUUUUUGUACGGUAUAUGCAGUAGCCCGUAAGCUUAAAGUUUUCCUGCGAUCAAAACGUCACUCAUGUUUUCAAGAGAGUAUUCGGCCGCAAAAGGUCUUAAAAAAUACAAAACCACAAGAAGGUUUUUUAAGCGGAAGAGCAAAUAGAAGACGAAAUUGAUGCACGUUUUACAGGUUUAUUUGUACAUGUGGAUGUGUGUUUGUUUGCAUUCGUUCAUUUCAGUACAUGGCAGUAUUCAUGCAAAGACCCGCAGUUUACUCCUUUCUAUUUUCAGGUCUUCGAUGUAUGUUUUUUUCCAAACUGCCAGGCUGUUGCAGUUCACACCUGCCUAUAUUUUGGCAGUUACGCCUUGGCAGUGUAGGCGUAUAAAUUGACACAGGCAGAGCACGAGCGUACUAAAUUCCAUCUGCUCCAUGGUUACUGUGUAAUGCUCGCUUUCUCUUCAAUGUUUCGUUUCUUGAAAACAGUUUAAUCGUUUAACUUGUGAUAUGAAACAGCCGUCGAGAGAUAUCAGUUCGUUUCAGUACUCACUUUUGUAGCUCUAAUUGCUGCAGCUUCAUAUUCUUGUAUUUCGUGUCUGAAAAGAUCGUACUUUCUCGUUCCUGAUGACCUCUGAUUUUUUAUUCGCCGUUCGUUUGCUGAGAUUUUUCUAUUUUUCCGUCACGAAAAGGAAUUGUGAUACGUGUGACAGGGUGUGUGUAGGAAAGCACGCAGGCUCCAGUAUGUGGGUUGAUCCAUUGUAUAAAGCAUCUGUCUUUUCUGAGUUUCCUUUGCAGCUCUGCACAAAUUGCCUUAUAUCUGCCUGCCCUUUACCUUAUAUGCUCUGUUUCUUUUCCAUGGUCAAUAUAUUUAUGCUCUGAAUAAGUUAUGCAGUUUGUUCAAUUUCUUGUGUGCGAAAGGGAUGCCGUGUUGCGGUAAACGGACCCUUCAAGUGCUGGCUGACUUCGCAGCGCCUACAUGCAAUAAUGAUGAAAGUCAAUGAGGCAAUGGAAACCAACAAACAUCUUCUCGUUGACCCUCACAUAGUGGAACAAACGCCCUCAGACAUCAUGAAGUCAUGAAAGCAAAGCUGCUAUCCUACUCCAUUGUCUCAUCAACAUCAGAGGGUUUCAAGAGC